rnacentral:rRNA from 1 species
AGUGAACGCUGGCGGUAGGCCUAACACAUGCAAGUCGAACGGCAGCACAGUAAGAGCUUGCUCUUACGGGUGGCGAGUGGCGGACGGGUGAGGAAUACAUCGGAAUCUACUUUUUCGUGGGGGAUAACGUAGGGAAACUUACGCUAAUACCGCAUACGACCUACGGGUGAAAGCAGGGGAUCUUCGGACCUUGCGCGAUUGAAUGAGCCGAUGUCGGAUUAGCUAGUUGGCGGGGUAAAGGCCCACCAAGGCGACGAUCCGUAGCUGGUCUGAGAGGAUGAUCAGCCACACUGGAACUGAGACACGGUCCAGACUCCUACGGGAGGCAGCAGUGGGGAAUAUUGGACAAUGGGCGCAAGCCUGAUCCAGCCAUACCGCGUGAGUGAAGAAGGCCUUCGGGUUGUAAAGCCCUGUUGUUAGGAAAGAAAAGCAGCAGGUGAAUACCCCGCUGUUCUGACGGUACCCAAAGAAUAAGCACCGGCUAACUUCGUG